AUUCUAGAAGGUUAUUGCUAUAAUUAUGCUUGGUUAAUUAAUUAAUACUAAAUUUCAAACUAAAAUGUGUAGUCAAACAAGAAAAUGUUUACUAAAUAUUCUUCUGAAUAUUCAAUAAAGGGUAGACGACAGACCGGUUCAGUGUAACAAAAGUCAAUAAGUAACCACUUGGUAAAAAUAAUUUAAUUGUGACACCAGAUGAAAUCUGUGUAGCCUUUGGAAGAUUCGUGAAAUGUGUAAUAUAUGUACAGACAAAUUUUUUGACCCAUGGCCAGUAAAUAAAAGUGUUGGCCAUUCGUCAUUUUAUAAUUGCUCAACAUGUACUCCGUUAUCCAGAUGUCAAUAUCUGAGAAACCUAGGACCAAUCAAUGCAAUUGUUAUUCAAUAUUCCAAUGAGUCAGGAGUCAUAAUAUUAGAUGAAUAACUACAUCGAUUUUGCCACAUAUGUGACUUAACAGUUAACAUGUGGCUUAAAAAACACAUAUACCACAGGAUAUUUGAGGUGUGGUGUGGCAUGUGGUCUGACAUCCAAGGAUCAUUUCAGUUCUCUUCAUCUAUAGUCCUAACUUUAGUUAACUGAAGAAUUUUUGUACAAUAAUGCACGAUAAAAAGUUUGCAUCCAUUUGAAGAAUGUUCAAUGAGAUGAAUAUUUAAAACUGAACAUUCUGGACCUGAACAUGCAUUGUUACAUAGAAACAUGAAAUUCCAUGAAACAUAACUUCUUGCCUCAACAAGUGGAUAUCAUUGCAGCAAUUGAGAUCUACAAACACAUAAAUAAUAUCAUCAGAAUAGAAAGUAAGAAACCAUAAAACUUUAUAAAGUUUGGACACCAUUUCUUAAAAACAUAAAAAUCUGUUAAGCAGAUUAGAAGUUGUCAGUUUUAUUUUUUAAAUCAUAAAUCGUAAAAUUUACAACAGUGUCAGUUUAAGGUUUAUAACCUGCUGCUCCUCAAACAUUGGAGUAUGUUAUUACUGGGUUCAUUAAUAUACGUGCAAUGGUUUUUGGUUUCAGUUUAUUCAAACAGUUGCAGUGAUGGUUGUUAAUUUGUUAUAGCAUUUCCUUCAUAUUUCAAAAUUGCUAAAUGAAUUGUUCUUCUUAAACUCUUGAUGAUCACUAAAGAUAUGCCGUCACUUCCAAAAUGACGUUCUAUGGACAUAUAAUUUAGGCAAUUUGUUUCAU